rnacentral:lncRNA from 1 species
GCCCGGCCAUCACUCCAAACGUCAGCCGCGUCACGCUCACGCGUACGCCCGGAUCUCAUUUCCCCAAUUUCUUUCCUUCGCUUCGCAACCUUCCUACCCCAGAGACUAUAAACCGCGCCGUAUUUCGCCCGCCGUCGCCGGAGGUAAGCUCUCCGACUCCGACACUUUUUGACAUACAUCCGGGUCCGGCACCCUCUCGCCAUUGCUCACCUCCCUGACAUCUGUUCCCGGACGUUCGCGUAGCCAGGCCACCGCUUCCGCUCGGGACUGACACCACCGUCGCCUGAGGACCGGUCCGGCCAUUCCAUCCGCAUCACAGGAUUCGCUUCGUUGCCAGGAGGCAUGCCAACCACUUGGACAGCGACGGAGUUCAGCGGCAACGACGCAGCACACGACGCGGACCUCGAUACAUCACCAUCGGCGACAUGGCUGGGUAAUCAAACCAAAACCUAAACCCGUAGUAUGAACCUGAGCGAUGGCAGGAGUUUUUCUUUUCUCUUGAGGGAAGCGAUGUCAGGACGUGAUGGUGGUGAUAGUUUUCAAAUCCUUUGAGUACAAUUUGUGUUCUAGUAUAUGUUAAAUCCAGUCGAAAUGGGCACAUCUGAUUAAUUCCCUUGUAGUUUGAGUUCCGUAAAGUUCGUUUGGUGUUUGUUUAUUUUUGGUAUGGCAAUAGAAUAUUCGGGAAUCCACCGGCAAUUUUUUUUUGUGGAAAUCCCUCAAUUGUUAUUUCUACUUUUGGAGAAUUUAAUAAUUUCCUAAUGUUAUUUUUUUUGCAGGGACUAAUGUUAUUUUAUGAUCUAUUUUAUUUAUUAAAACCAUUUUUACGUAUUGUUCUGAGUUGAUAAUUUUGGUGUUGUACGUAGUCUCAUUAUAUAUACCUCUAAACCAAAUUUUGUGCUUCAUUUCCAUCUGAAAAAAUCCAUAGAAUUAUUUUAUGCUAUGCUAAAUUUAUAGUUGGUGUUUAACUAUUAUUGAGAUUCAUCUAAGUAUUUAUUUUUUGUUAAUUAUUACUUUUAAGCAUGGCACCUUGUUGCUUGAAAUGUCCAUGGUCUAAUAUUAUUUAAUGUAUUGACAUGCUAUGUUUAGUGUUAUGUACUUAUGUUCAAUCUUGAUAUGUUUCUAGCCUAGGUAUACAAUGGGAAAUAGUAGUGUGAAUAGUAUAUAGUGGGUUAUAGUACUGGUCAGUAGCAUAAUUCAUAGUAGAAUGGUUAGACUUGUUGGUGAAUUGUUGCUUGGCCGCGAUGAACCUAGACCCUACGAAAAACCUCUCUACUUACCUCUUCAUCAUGCUACCUCAUGACACUCAAUUUGUAUACGGAUGUUAUUUGGAAUUAUAUUUUGCUAGUUUAUUUAUAUUAUUUUAUUUGUUAUUACAAUGAGUAGGAGAUGACAUGACCAGGAAGGAGCACCACCUGGAAUAGGGAGAUGAGGGACUCGUCAACGUAGGCAUGCCUCUCUCUUUGAUCAUGCUUAUAUAUAACUUGCUUUCAAUAUUGCAUAGUAUUUUAUGGUUUAUAAGCAUGCAUGCUAUUUAAUCUUGUAGGUAGUGUCAAUUGACACUUUAAAGUGAUUUGCUUGUUGCUUGUUUCACUUGAUGUUGGAGUGUAAUUAUGUACUAAUCAUGCAUAAAGUAGAAAUACUUAGCCAUGCUCAAUAAUCUAUAUGUAGUUGCCACUUCGGAUGAGUUUCCAGGAUCAAUGACACUUUGAAACUUACAAUUGAGCCCGUCGAGCUAGGACAUUGGGCCAGUUGUUGGUUCAUCUACUCUGGGCGAAACUUACCAACCAAACACUUAUCCAUGUGGCAGAUGAAUCAAGGAUUCAAGUAGCAAUUGGCUACCCUUCAAAAGCUGAAGAGAGAAAUAUGCCCCCCCCAUACCACAUGAUGCCUGAUAAUUCUUGGAUUUUAAGAUCGUGAAUACGGUAAAAUCACACACUAUAUGAGUUCUGGCUUAGUCAACUACGUUACCCUCAGUUGCUGAUGCCACCAUAUUGCUUAUGGGGUGUCUGUUUGUCUGAUAUGGUGACAUACACUUAGGUCUUUGCCCCGGUAUCUCACAUCUUUGCGGAUCUAGCUAAAAGCCCUUGCCAUGGCCUCUCCACCAACACACCAAAUUUUGUGUGCUAUGGUAGCAACGACUAGUGGCAAUAAGAAGAAAUUGUAUUAUGUGGUUAAGUGUAUAACCUUUGUAGAGUGUAAAACUGUCUGAAUGGCCACUUGCAAUUAGCCACUUGCAAUUAGGCACGACACAUGAAUCUAUUCUGGAAACAACAAUCUCAGUAUGUUAUUGCAUCAAACAAAGAGCGUGAGUUGGUCGAGCACCCUCCCUAGGAUGAAAUAUAUGCCGGAGAUAAAAACCAUUUUCUCAUCCAAAAAGGCUUUUAUCAGAACUAUUGUGAUGUUGCAAAAAAAGAGAGGAUGUUUUGGAAAUGAACCAUGUUAACUUUCUUUGAAGCUACAUGUAACUGAUAGGUCUCCUCUCUAGGAGGCAUGUUGAGUAUGUAAUGUACUCAUGGCAGUACUUUUGUGGUACUUCAGAGCUCUAUGAAGGCGAGGGUGUUGACUAUGAGUAAUACGAGGAUCCAAAGGAGUGAGGCUAUGUGAUCUACAUUAAUUUUCUGUGGCUGAGGAGUCAAUACAUAUUGUAUUUUUCAAGGAUUUAAACUUCAAGCUAAGCCAAACUAUCUCACUUUCUACUGCUAUCCUAGUUACCACCAGUAUGGCGGCAAAUAAUUGUGAUAUUUGCCAUAGGUCACCAUCAGCUAUAGAUAAAACUAAUAUGUGUAAGUGUACAAGGGAUAAAACAAUCCAUAAUCAAUCAUACAUGCAAAUUUAAUCCAAAACAAUCAUGUAUAUACCUAAAUAACAAAAGCGACAUGUAUAUAACUCAAUAACAUGAAAAUACAAACUCUAACAAGGUAGCAUCUAAUCUAUCUUUAGAGGACACUUUAUUACAGAUCUUCGGUCGACCGGCGAUUGAUUCACGGUGAAUCCUAUGAGCACUCACGGUGUCACAUCCAUGCAAGAAAAUAAAUUAUAUUUCUGUAUAUUAAUUAGUUAAUUGAUGGAUUCCACACUUGUCAUUGGUCUAUGGGGUUGGGGUGUUGCUUAACGGAAAGCAGUUUUAGGUUGCAUGAUAUGGUAAAGUAAUUGGGCGUUGUGAGUUCUGAUAAUAGUGAAGCCAUUUGGUACACUAGUUGUUGGAGUUGUGGAUGUGAGUGUAAAUUUCUGAAAUGCACAUGAGGAGUUGAUGGGUUGUAUAGAAAUUGUUAUAUUAAAUGUAGAUUGGGCCAUAAAUUGUUAAAUUUAGCUAAUUGUAUACAAUAGAUUUUCUAGUUAGUUCUUGCUAGUAAUUUUGCACUUAAUUAAAUAAAAAGAUUCUUUACUAAGCACACAAUUUGCACUUAAUUAUGUGGCACCCUAACUACACUUUCAACUAUAAGCACACUAAUUUGCACUUACAUUUAACUAAUAAUUAGACAACAUUGAUCACUUGAGAAAUACUUCGUCCGUCCCAUUAUAUAAGAGCGUUUUUGACACUACAGUAUUGUCAAAAAUGCUCUUAUAUCAUGGGAUGGAUGGAGUAGUAAGAAACUGUGUGCCUCGGUGUAUGAGCAAUAGGACAUUUGGUGGGGUUUCUAUUUAGUUCAGCUUUUGGCUUAUAUGCCCAGAAAGCCACAACAAAAGCGUACCAAAGCCGAACCAAAGCUAGCCAUUGUCUCAUACUUUUGGCCAAAUCUUGCCAUAGUUAUGGCGCCAAUUACUUCACCAUAAUUUUUGUGUCUUGACAAACAUAGCUACAAGACAUAGCCCAUUGUUGGCGAUUAAGGCAACACCUACCAUUGAAGUAGUUAAUCUUGUACAAGAUCUUUCGACCUCGUAAUUUAGGUCAUACAUUACAAAUCCAUAUAAGCAAGAAAUCUAAGGCCUAAAUUGUAACUUGUUCACCGGACGAGGUAGUAUUGCUCCCGCGAUUCACCCAUCAAUUUUUGUGUGUUAGGACCUAAUUUGUUCUAUCUGUGUAUUAGGGACCCGAUAACCAAUAGUAGGCAUCCUACUAUCAACACUUGCAACGAUGCGACCAUCCUCCUCCAACUAUUAUAGGUAAUAGACAUAUGAGACAAUACAUUCGAGGCUGGAAGUGAGUUUUUUUGUGGGUGAAAGAGAUUUAUAGGAAACAAAGAUAUCGAACAUUCAGUCGUAAGGAAGGCAGGUGGACCACAAAUGUAACACCAUCACUAUCGGCGCUAAUUUCUAUUGCUAGAGCAAAGAACAUGACCAACUUAGAUAACAACAAUGAUAAAAUUUGUGACCUCUUCAAGUGUCACGACAACAUUAGUCCGAAGAUAAAGGAGCCCAGGAACAAAAUAGAGGAAGCAGACUCUCAGGUUAUCGAAAUGAAUUUCUAAAACUAUUGGCAGUAUGUCAAUUGAGGUGAAUUAAUCAUAGUUUUUCAUAAUAUACAAUCUACCUUGUUUGACACAUCUUCACAUGAAGUAUGGAAAAAACUAAUUUAGAGACUUGUUAAUGUCCUCAACCGCUUAAUUAUAUCAUGCAUCAAAGCGAGCACACACUUUCUAACUUUAAAAUUGCAAAACCACAGUUACUGGCUACAUUCAAGGAAAUAUGGUUAUGUUAAAGUGUUGAUAAGUAAAAUAACAUGUCAACCUUUCUUAAAGGAAAUAGGAGUAUGUACAUGCUCCUCAUUAAUUCAUUGCCCAAAAAUGAAGCCAAACACUUUCCAUAAAUGAACAUAAGUUUUGGAACAUAUUAGUGGGGAUCUAAAUGUAAAAAUUGGAAACCUAGCACAAGUGGGUAUAGCCAUACAAUAAAUCACACCAGUCCGUAUUUUACAUUAUGGAAAAGCAAACUAAUCUCGCCAACAAAGAUCAUUUCAAGAAAUCUAUAAAUGAUUAGAUGAUGCUAGUGACAACCAUAGUAUAAUUUUUUUGUGAAUGAAACAUAUUCCCUUAGUGGAGGAACAAUUAGUAAUGUAGUUCAAGUACCAUAUCCUCAACACAUACACUUCGCUAGAGCUAAUCUCUCAAGCUCAAGCUAAAUAACAACAUAAACUACGGUAAUAGGAAGGAGAAAAGAGUUAACAUGAUUAAAGUUUAUUGGACCACUGGUAGAAUUUUUUAUACAUAAAACUUGAGAAGGAAUAACUGAACUUCAAGAAGAGAAUAGUUUAUAGUCAAACUGAUCUGAUGUGCUGAUGUUAAGGGAGCGGGGAGAAAGAGGGGAGCUGCGGCUAUGGGGUGUCUUGGUGUAAGAAAAUGGAGGGUGGUGAGCACAAGUUGGAUGCAGGGAUGUGAAUGGACCAGGGGCAAUAGAGAGAUAAAUGUGGUUAUGGCCACUGGUUCAUUGAUUCCACUAGGAAUAGGCUCAAGGGAGCGGAGAAAGGACAAUGGUGAGUAAGCGACACUCGAGUAAAGGGGGAUAGAGGGCUAAAGAACCAAUCAUGCACAUUCUUCCUGAGGCAGGGAGGUAGUAGUAUGUGAUGGUAACCAUAUGAAAAUAAAAUUGAAUGGACAUACAGAAUCAAGGAGUUGGCGGAGCGAGCUCGGGGUUUAUUGGCAUGUGUAGCUCAUCACCAACUCUAUUUGAACACACCACUUCUCCUAGAAAGUGGUUAUUUUUUCAUGAAUGUGAUGUAGUGUAGGUUUCUGUAGUGAGUUAUUAAUAUAUUUCAGAGGUAAACCCUGCUACAAGUCUUUAAAAAGUAAUUUUCUUGCACAUGUGUGCUUGCACAUCAUCUAAAUUUUUGUAGCCAUAGCAUUUGCUAGCUAGGUCCAAUAAAAAUCGUUUAAUCUGGACAAGAGUCACUCUUCCAUGCAACAUGCAUUAGUACAUUGAUCAUUUGUUUAAUCAAAUGUACUAAUGCUUGUAUGAAUUGCAAUAUAUUUUAAAUCCCACAGAGAAAUGGUGGGGACAAUAUAUUUUUUCAUGAAUGUGAUGUAGUGUAGGUUUCUGUAGUGAGUUAUUAAUAUAUUUUAGAGGUAAACCCUGCUACAAGUCUUUAAAAAGUAAUUUUCUUGCACAUGUGUGCUUGCACAUCAUCUAAAUUUUUGUAGCCAUAGCAUUUGCUAGCUAGGUCCAAUAAAAAUCGUUUAAUCUGGACAAGAGUCACUCUUCCAUGCAACAUGCAUUAGUACAUUGAUCAUUUGUUUAAUCAAAUGUACUAAUGCUUGUAUGAAUUGCAAUAUAUUUUAAAUCCCACAGAGAAAUGGUGGGGAAAAUAGCAAAGCAAAUCAAAAAAUUAAUAGCCAAUAAAAAACACCAUCAUGAAAGCCUUUGGACAAUCAAACACAAAGCAAACUUAUUCUUCGUUAAAAAAAGAUACAAUUGUGAUGGUGCGCGUUUAUCAUAGUUGGUCAUGUUUUAUGUCAUGCAUAUACGUCCAUGACGGUUGUAUGAUAGAAUCAAGAUAGCCAUACAUGUGCGGUCAUAGAUGCGUCCCAUGACAGUAGUGACUUUUUCAUAAUGGAAGUGUGUUCUUCCAUGAUAGAAAAUGACACGUCAUGAAAGAGUUUUGUCAAGGGUAACCGACACGUGGUAACCACCAUAACGGUCACCGUCAAUCUAUCGGGAGUGGGUUUUGGAUCUCAUACCCGCUAACGACGUGGCCAACUGAUGAUCCUCCAUGUUUAUGCUUCUUAUUCCUCGACGGGUCCAUGCGCCAACUCUUCAUUUGAACAUGUAUCGCCCAUCCAAUGGACGACAAGCACCCGUGUUUAAUUGACGCGUGGUAUAAACCAACAGUGGUUCGUUUAAUUAAAAUGGUUGGCUCAGUCAAAUGCCUGCUUAUGGCCCACAAGACUUACUCAAAAUUUUGCAGACUGCCCAUUGAUAAGCUUCCUAACGGCCUGCUUACAGUGGCCCAUUUACGACUCGGGUUCAUACGGCCCAUUAGGAACUAUGUGGAUUUAGCCCAUUACAAACUCAUUGGUCAUUCAUCGUUAUGAUGACACAUUGAUAGUUUUUGUCCAUUAAUGACUUGUGGUGUCUUUGAAUCCAUUUAUGGCCUUAUGUGACUUUUGACAUGUUAACGUCUCAUUGUGUCCUUGAUCCAUUUAUGGCUCAAUGUGUCUUUUGGCCUAUUAACGGCCUAUGGUGGAUUUAGAAAAUUCCUUGCUAGAAGUGUCUUUCAUCCUGCUAGUGGCCUAUUAUGUAUUUGGACCCAUUUAUGUCUCAUGGUGAUUUCGACUUGUUUGGGGCCCAUGUUAUCCUUAGGCUCGUCGACGUCCCAAGGUUAUCAUGACCUGUCAAGGCCCAUUUGUAGUUUGCCCAGUUAGGGCCCACAUAUGGCUUGCCCCGUAUUUGCCCACAUAUGGACUAGCCCAUUGAUGGCCCAUGUAUGGUCUAGCCCAUUGACGAGCCAUGUAUGGUGUGGUCUAUUGACGACCGACGUAUGGUCUGAUGUGUUGACGAUCCACCUUUGGUCUGCCUCGAUGACGACCCACGUGUGAUCUGUCCCAUUGAUGGCUCAUGUAUAGUUUGGCAUGUUAACGACCCAUGUAUGAUUUUUUGGUUAAGAAAACCUAAUGUAGUAUGAUCUCGUAAAAUGCAAGUUAUUACAUGACAUUGAAAAUAUAUCGCCUGUGUUACAUCUUCGCAUUUCACACAUACACCUCGUAGUUCAUGGACACGAAUCACACAAUAGUGAACCAAGCAAGGCAGACUAACCUUUAUAUGGCAAACAUGACUAAUACUAGAGUACACGACAGCUAGCAUUAGCAGGGGUUAUAUUGUAAAAUUAUAAAGAUGGUAGCCUAUGUAGCACACGUACAAAAAUCUCCCAUUUUUCACAAUAAGGAGCAUGAUAAAGAAAUAGACAACAUGUUCGGGCAACUCCAAAUUACCAAUGGGUUACAGAUUGAGACCACACAUGGCUAUAUUAAACACUAGACAUAUCUUGUGUAUAAUUAAGGAAGUAGUUAAACAUUGGGUACCUCAUAUAAACUUACUGGAACAUUGUGUGGUGUGCUUCAAAGGAAUUUUAGGGAGCCUAAUGAACUACACAAGAAUUUCUUUAUGCCAUAGUUGAGUUCAUAUAAAUCCUUUACAACAAGAAAAACUAUUUAGACCAAUAGUCAACUUGUUCAGUUGCUGACAAAAAAGCAAAUAUAGUAUGCAUCAGAUAAGCAAGCAAAUAAAGUAUGGCUCGAAGAAACAAGCAGUUAAAAUGUUGUGUGGCCAACUCUUUCACACCAUUGGUAUUAAACAGAUGGACGCCAGGGUCUAGUUGCUCAGAACAUCCCUCAUUACUGAUCACAUAUGCUUUCUCGGGACCAGAACAUACGGGGGCCUCUCACACCGACAUAGAUCGUGAUAUGUCGAGAAAUCAAAGCUCCACUGAAAUAAGUAAAGAAAUAGACAACAUUUACACAUAGCCAACUGGGAUGGCGACUAAGAUACGUCAUGGCUCGAUGGAGAUGUUUAGUCUUGAAUAUGCCAUUUGAAAAGGCGACAUUCCUAACACCAAGUAGUAGUUACGCGCACCCCUUCCAGUGUGGCUGAUGGGCAAGAAAACAUAAGGAAAGGCGGAAAAGAAAGAUAAAAGUAGCAAACCAGGUGGAUGCAAUGAUGGUCGCAAAAAUACCAGACGACAAAAUUAGAUAGAGCCAACAAGGGGACCAUCCACCUCACCUGCAUUGUACAACUCACCACCAUACGAGCCACUUUCGAUCGACGACCUGUCGAUAGUGAAGUGUUCGUGCGACCAUACUUGCACGAGAAGUGGGCACCCACAAAUCGUCGAGGAUUUACUUUUCCUGUUGCAGUCCUUUCUCAGUGAAUGGUACAUCGAGCAAAGCACCACACAACUAAAGCUAAGCUAAGGCAUCUCUGUGUCAGCAUUAAUGAUGAUCUUGGCUAUGUGAAUCACGCGCUUGUCCAUGUUAUGGCCAUGGGGGCUAACAAACAUCACUCAACCGAAUAAAAACAGGAUGAACGCCACGAGCUGACGACUAACAAGUUCAUCACUUGGUUCGUCCACAUUACGUUUCAUAUUGCCCACCUAUCACAAAAAGAACAUAACAUACAUUUUAGACAAAACAAAAUCGACACAGAUAAAAUUGGAUAGCGAAAACCUAACGAGAUUUGGAAGAAUAUUAUUAUAUCUUAAACUGAUGGAGUCACUUCAACAUGUGCCAUGGUUGUUUUUUUGGAUUCUCGUAGCUUUGCUAUUUUGGCGGUACAUCCCUCCUGUACGGGUCAACAAGGUCUAUGCGCCUGUCAAUAGAUGCAUCUUGUAGCAUGAAAACUUCACAUGGUAUGUGUAUGCCGGUGAGUAGUGAGACAUCUUGUAUGGUGAUCAUAAUCUUACCCUUCAUGGUAGGUGAAACAUGUUGGUUUGGGGGCACCAUUGGUCGGCAAGAGCCGCAACCAUUGAUGAGACGUAAUUGAAGUGCUUUAGUUGAGCAUUUGUGGGCUCAAUUACCCAUGCUAGUGGAAGAAGGCUAGCUUUUUGACAAUCUGGUUGAUGAAAAGUUUGUUAUAAAAGGGGCGGUUGCCAAAAAGUCAUGAAGGGCAAAGAGGGCCUUAAAGAGUGUCCAUCCAUCGACGUUCCAACCUAUGUGUUUCUUUGCUGGUGCGGAUCAUAAAUGUUUUAAAUUCUUGCGCUUGCACCGGUGGUGCAUGUCAAUCUCACUGUUCGGUAGCUCGUACUGUCCCAUGGGAAGUAGCUCUGUGGGUAUUGCAGUUAUGCCCUAUCAUUAUUUUAUUGAGCAACCACAAUCAUUCUUAAGAACAAGAAAAAGGCAAGAGGUAGAGUAAUAAAAUUAUAAGUUGCUCCAAUUAAGAAUAGUUUGUUUAUUCUGGUUAAUAAUCUUGUUAGUCUAUCAUUUAUAUUCUUGUUCUUAAAAAUGAUAGUGGUUGCUCAAAAAUGAUAAUGCCUAACGACAAUACCCGAAGAGAUAUUUGUCAUGGAACAGUAUGAGCAACUCCACCGUGCUAUUGAAGGGUAGUUCCUUUGCAGGCGUAAAUUUUUUAGAGACAUAUAGGAUGCAUACCAGCAAGGAAAAAUGGAGGAAGGAUCGUCUAUGGAUGGAUCUGUAGACCUGAAGGCACUCUUUGCCCUCUACUCAUUUUUGGCAACCACCGUUUUACAAGAAAACGUUUGAUCAAUCAGGUUGUGAAGAACUGGCCGUCUUCCACUGGUGCAGAUGAUAGAGGCAGUAGUUGCUUGGCCAAAGCAUUUCAACUACGUCUAAUCGAUCCCCGCCACUCUUGCUAACUGUUGGUGUCCCGAUGCGAUGCUCACCGAUUUACCCAUAGCAAGGGAAGCCAUAACAUGCAAGAUGCACCUGAUAAUUGGCACACAUACCUUGUUGACCAUUUCAGGAGGAGGGGUCAUACCUACAACAUAUUGAAACCACAAACAUCCCAAGAAAAAUAACCAUGGACCCAUGUUUAACUGAGUAUAACGAUAUUUUUCCAAUCCUAUCAAAUUUUCCCUGUCCAAUUUUACCGAUGUCGAUUUUAUAUUGUCUGGAAUGUAUGUUAUGUUAUUUUUGUGGUAGGUUGGCAUCAUGAAUGUCACACCCUAGCUAGUCAUGCAUUAGAGUGUUGCAUCAUGUUUACUCUUUCAUCAGAAACUUGAAAUGGGGAUGACAGAACCCCCAGUCCCCUCUGAAACCAACUAGGGUUUACUAAAAUAAUUUUCAAUGAACCUGAAAUGCCCUUCUAAAAUGCCCAUCAUUUUUGUCUUGGUUCAGAACCUCUGCCAAAAGUGGUGCACAUUUUCCUAGGCCAUCCUAGGGUUUUGAAUUAAAUCAUAACUAUUUGAAUUUGGGCAUUUAAAAUAAUAUAAAAUAUUUAAAUGCUCAAAUAUCUCCAAACUAAAAUGUUUCAUGUUGGAAAUAAUCCAACUAUGAGCCAGGAGUAGUUUGGUGAUUUUUGGAGUUGCCUAGGUAUUUUAUUUAAUUCAACAAAGUUGCAGAUAUAUUAAAUAAAAACAGAAAACAGAAAAGAAAGGGGAAGACUUACCUGUGCGGCCCAGCCAGCUGGCCGGCCCAGCCAGCAACCGACCCAGCCCAGCACUGUAGCUCCCCGUCGUCUUCCUCCCCACGCCCCGAAGCUGCUGCGUGCUCGCGCGCGCGCGGCCGCGCGGCCACCUCCUGCUUGCCGACGCCCUCCUUGCCGCGUGGACGACGCCCGCAGCCCGUCCCGAUCCCCCCUGCCCUCUCUCACUCUCCCUGGCUCUCUCCUUCCUCUCUCUCGCUCUCUCUCUCGCUCGGCCGAACACGACCGUCGCCGCCGUUCGCCAUAGCAGUCGUCUCCGACCACCCCUCGCUCCCCCGAUUAGCUCAGAAGCUCCGCCACAACUCCCUCUUCCUCCCCACCGCUCCACGGGUCCCCGGAAGCCCUGCAUCGCCGCCACGUCGCCGUUCCCCUCUUCGGACUCCGACCACCGUCGCCGUCAAAUUCGUCGUCUCCGGCGCGUCCCCGAGCCCGCUUCGACGCCCACUGCAACCGUGGUGAGCCCCCGGAGCGUUUCCCCCUUCUUCCCUGGUCUCUCCCGACCUCUAGGCCCUAGCUCCACCUCGACCGAGAGCUCCACGCCGCCGGCGAUGUCGCCGUCGUGGCCACGGUCGCCGUAGCGCCCAACCGAGCUCACCAUCGUGCUCCACACAUCACCAGGAGCACGUAGAACGCACCAACGCCUCCCCAAACCCCCUGCAACACUAAUCCCGACCGCACCCGAACUCCGGCCGCCGCAGCCGAGCUCGCCGCCGUCAACUCCGGCCACCCCGAGCCUAACCACCACCACCAAUAAUCGCGGCUCAGCCUCAGCAACACGUAGAUGCCUUCCGCCGUCCAUUUGGUCGCCGGAAUGGCAAAAAUCACUCUCGCCGCCGUCUCGGAUCUCGCCGGCGUCAUGUCGCCGGUGGGGUUUGACUUGACCGACCUGGGGUUUGACCCCCCAGGGUCACUGACGCGUGGGCCCUGUCGGCCAGGUGGUUAGGUUAGCGCUAACUACUGUUAGUCAACCCCCCCUGACACUGACAGUGGGCCCCAGCGCCACUAAUUAGUAAUUAGGAUUAAUUUAAAUCUGUUUAACCCCCCCUGUCACUGACGUGUGGCCCCCACACGUCAGGUUUGACUUCAACCAGCCACAGUUGACCACUGACGUCAUGGUGACGUCAGGCUGACGCAGUAAUUGAAUUUCUGGAUUUAAUUUAAAUCAGGAAAUUCCAGAAUAUUAAUUAAACUUCAAAAAUUCAUAACUUUUAUUCUGUAACUCCAAAUUGGACAAAUUAUAUAUGAAAAAUGAUCAGAAAAAUCCAAUCUAUCCAUCUGUACUAUUUUCAUGCAUGAUCAAACAAGUUAAAUUGAUGUUUUAAUCAGAACAAGGAAAAGCACUUUAAAAGGCCAUAUUUGAAUUUGAAAUUUGAAUCUUUGAUUCAAAUUUGCUCAAACCCUUCUGGUUUUAGUUGCAUUAGCCCAACACACUCAUAUUGCCAUGUUUCAUGCAUGCAUCAUAUUGUUGCAUAUUGUUUGGUAAUGUUGUGUAUCGGUGUCCUUUGCGACAGGAUCUGUCCCCGAGGAGUACCGAGAUUACCCUAGCGAAGAACCGUAUCCGUGCAACGAACCAUCAGGCAAGCAACCAACCAUUUGAUCAUAUCGAUACAAUCCCAUGUUCUCGCUCCUGCUCUCUUUUACUGCAUUAAGACAACGCGAUUCAAACUGCUGUGUGCUACGGUAGUUGAACCCAUUUCCUCUGCAUGACCUGUCAUUGCCACAGUAACUAGAUGAAACCCACUAGCAUGUGUAGGAGUUGAUUGAGCCAUAUGUAUGUGUUGUUCCUACCUUGCUAUGCCUGCUAUGCUUAGAGUCGUGUCAGGUCUGGUUCAUCUGGGUGAUGGGCUAGAGUGAAAUGUUAUGUCAGUAAUGAGAGUGGUGUGAUGAACACGAUUUGGUAAAGGUAUCGAUGAGAGGCCAUGUAGGAGUACAUGGUGGGUUGUUUCAUUGAAGCCGACCUUAAGCACUGAGAUCUGUAUGUGUGAUUUAAGAAUCAGCUACUACCAUGCAUUGGGCCCGAAACCAAUGGACCCUCUCGGCUUCUUAUUCACCCUAGUUCUCCGUCCAGGAGUUGCAAGUAGUUUCUGGUGUUUGUAGCCUACUGGAGGCCGUGGACAGCGCUGACCGUAGGGGUGGGCUGUGAUGCGGUAGGUACGUGGCACGGUGUACCGAAUACCCGUUAGGUAUCUCGGGAACCCUGUUCACAUCGUUCGGGGCCGUAUGGGAAACCUCGGCCGGACUCCCUGCGGAUGGAACCUGAAUAGGCGAUAAACCUGGACUGGAGGCUUAGGUGAUUAGGUAGGUCGUGGCCGACACCCACGUUGGGCUUCCGCUUGAAGGUUGCCGAGUACAUGUCGUGUAAGCGACGGUAAGUGGUGAGAGCGUGUAAGCGAUGGUGUGCUCGGUUGGGCGCUACGGCGACCGUGGCCACGACGGCGACAUCGCCGGCGGCGUGGAGCUCUCGGUCGAGGUGGAGCUAGGGCCUAGAGGUCGGGAGAGACCAGGGAAGAAGGGGGAAACGCUCCGGGGGCUCACCGCGGUUGCAGUGGGCGUCGAAGCGGGCUCGGGGACGCGCCGGAGACGACGAAUUUGACGGCGACGGUGGUCGGAGUCCGAAGAGGGGAACGGCGACGUGGCGGCGAUGCAGGGCUUCCGGAGACCCGUGGAGCGGUGGGGAGGAAGAGGGAGUUGUGGCGGAGCUUCUGAGCUAGUCGGGGGAGCGAGGGGUGGUCGGAGACGACCGCUACGGCGAACGGUGGCGACGGUGGUGUUCGGCCGUGUGAGAGAGAGAGCGAGGGAGAGGAAGGAGAGCUCCACGCCGCCGGCGAUGUCGCCGUCGUGGCCACGGUCGCCGUAGCGCCCAACCGAGCACACCAUCGUGCUCCACACAUCACCAGGAGCACGUAGAACGCACCAACACCUCCCCAAACCCCCUGCAACACUGAUCCCGACCGCACCCGAACUCCGGCCGCCGCAGCCGAGCUCGCCGCCGUCAACUCCGGCCACCCCGAGCCCAACCACCACCACCAAUAGACGCGGCUCAACCUCAGCAACACGUAGAUGCCUUCCGCCGUCCAUUUGGUCGCCGGAAUGGCAAAAAGCACUCUCGCCGCCGUCUCGGAUCUCGCCGGCGUCAUGUCGCCGGUGGGGUUUGACUUGACCGACCUGGGGUUUGACCCCCCAGGGUCACUGACGCGUGGGCCCUGUCGGCCAGAUGGUUAGGUUAGCGCUAACUACUGUUAGUCAACCCCCCCUGACACUGACAGUGGGCCCCAGCGCCACUAAUUAGUAAUUAGAAUUAAUUUAAAUCUGUUUAACCCCCCCUGUCACUGACGUGUGGCCCCCACACGUCAGGUUUGACUUCAGCCAGCCGCAGUUGACCUGCUGAUGUCACUGUGAUGCCAGGCUGACGCAGUAAAUGAUAUUUCUGGAUUUAAUUUAAAUCAGGAAAUUCCAGAAUAUUAUUUAAACUUUAAAAAUUCAUAACUUUUAUUCUGUAACUCCAAAUUGGACAAAUUAUAUAUGAAAAAUGAUCAGAAAAAUCCAAUCUAUCCAUCUGUACUAUUUUCAUGCAUGAUCAAACAAGUUAAAUUGAUGUUUUAAUCAGAACAAGAAAAGGCACUUUAAAAGGCCAUAUUUGAAUUUGGAAUUUGAAUCUUUGAUUCAAAUUUGCUCAAACACCUCUGGCUUUAGUUACAUUAGCCCAACACACUCAUAUUGCCAUGUUUCAUGCAUGCAUCAUAUUGUUGCACAUUGUUUGGUGAUGUCUGUGUAUCGUUAUCCUUUGCGACAGGAUCUGUCCCCGAGGAGUACCGUGACUACCCUAACGAAGAACCGUAUCCGUGCAACGAACCAUCAGGCAAGCAACCAACCAUUUGAUCAUAUCGAUACAAUCCCAUGUUCUCGCUCCUGCUCUCUUUUACUUCAUUAAGACAACGCGAUUCAAACUGCUGUGUGCUGCGGUAGCUGAACCCAUUUCCUCUGCAUGACCUGUCAUUGCCACAGUAACUAGAUGAAACCCACUAGCAUGUGUAGGAGUUGCUUGAGCCAUAUGUAUGUGUUGUUCCUACCUUGCUAUGCCUGCUAUGCUUAGAGUCGUGUCAGGUCUGGUUCAUCUGGGUGAUGGGCUAGAGUGAAAUGAUUAUGUCGGUAAUGAGAGUGGUGUGGUGAACACGAUUUGGUAAAGGUAUCGAUGAGAGGCCAUGUAGGAGUACAUGGUGGGUUGUUUCAUUGAAGCCGACCUUAAGCACUGAGAUCUGUAUGUGUGAUUUAAGAAUCAGCUACUACCAUGCAUUGGGCCCGAAACCAAUGGACCCUCUCGACUUCUUAUUCACCCUAGUUCUCCGUCCAGGAGUUGCAAGUAGUUUCUGGUGUUUGUAGCCUACUGGAGGCCGUGGACAGCGCUGACCGUAGGGGUGGGCUGUGAUGCAUUAGGUACGUGGCCGGGUGUACCGAAUACCCGUUAGGUAUCUCGGGAACCCUGUUCACAUCGUUCGGGGCCGUAUGGGAAACCUCGGCCGGACUCCCUGCGGAUGGAACCUGAAUAGGCGAUAAACCUGGACUGGAGGCUUAGGUGAUUAGGUAGGUCGUGGCCGACACCCACGUUGGGCUUCCGCUUGAAGGUUGCCGAGUACAUGUCGUGUAAACGACGGUAAGUGGUGAGAGCGUGUAUGAAGAAGUACCCCCUGCAGGGUUAACAUGAUCUAUUCGAAUAGCCGCGUCCGCGGUAAAGGACUACUUGGUUGCCUAUACAGUUCAUAGAGAAGUAAAUGGAAACUACUAAAAGCCUCAAGAUAAGUGUGAGUGCCGAGGAUGGCUCUUCCGUAGGAAGACAGAGGUGGAUCCUCGGUAGUGUAUUGAAGUGGUGAAUAGUGGACUCGUGUGCGCAAAACUAUUUCAAGUUGGAGUAUCGUAGGAUAGUCUAGCCAAGAGUCAAAGCUGGCUUGCUGCAAUAACUCCACCAACCCUUCUUGAUACUAUGCAUGUAUGUAGGAUCUGAUGUAAGUCUUGCUGAGUACCUUUGUACUCAUGUUGCUAUAAUCUGCAUUUUUACAGAAGACGCUGCAACCCCUUCUGAUGGGUUCUAUGUAGACGUUGACAUCAACGAGUAGGCUAAAGACCCAGGUGGUGACCCUGAGCUUGUGAUGGACCACGUAGUAUAAUUAGGCUUCCAAGCCUCUUUUAUUUUACUAGUUGUCUGUACCCAGACAAAGUACUUCCGCUGUUGGCUUGUAUGACUGUAUGACUUGUAUGUUGGGUCGUGAGACCCGUACCUUUGUGUGUAUGAUAUGUAUGGCUCCCUGAGCCUUAAAUAAAGUACUUGUGUCGUAGAGUCAUGUUGUGAUGCUUCGUUGUAUUUGCACAUAUCGAGCAUAUUGUGUGUAUGAUUGAAAUGCUUGGUAUGUGUGGGAUCUGACUAUCUAGUUGUUUAUCUUUAGUAGCCUCUCUUACCGGGAAAUGUCUCCUAGUGUUACCGCUGAGCCAUGGUAGCUUGCUACUGCUCUGGAACACUUAGGCUGGCCGGCAUGUGUCCUUCUUCGUUCCUGUGUCUGUCCCUUCGGGGAAAUGUCACGCUUUGAGUACCGGAGUCCUGUUAGCCCGCUACAGCCCGGUUUACCGGAGUCCUGCUAGCCCAGUGCUACAGCCCGGACUCACUUGCUGAUGACCGACACGUUCGAAGCUGGGUCAUGGAUGCCUGUCCCUGUAAGUCUGUGCCACUUUGGGUUUACGACUAGUCAUGUCAGCCCGGGCUCUUUAUCAUAUGGAUGCUAGCGACACUAUCAUAUACGUGAGCCAAAAGGCGCAAACGGUCCCGGGAAAAAGGUAAGACGACACCCGUGGGAAUACCGUGCGUGAGGCCGCAAAGUGAUAUGAGGUGUUACCAGCUAGAUCGAUGUGACAUCGAGUCGGGGUCCUGACAGCGUUGGCAUCAGAGCCGGACUGCCUGUAGGUUCUCCAAGCCAAACUGGUCGAUGUUGAGUCUAGAAAUUCUUUAGUUAUAUGUAGGGGAAUUGUUUGUGGGUUGGAACGUAAGGCUCUUUUUACUCCUUAUACCUUAUGACUUUCUGAUCUGAGUCAGUCCAUUCUUCCACCGGGGGGUUAAGGAAUUAGGAUCUGUUCUCUCUAUCAGGAUCACGAGUUACUAAUCAGUAGUACCUUAUAAGUUGGAUGGUUACCAGCCUAGUUCAGUUCUACUACCACAUUAUGUUGUUAGAAUGGUUUCGGAACUUUGAUAUGAUGAUGUUGAGUGUGUACGAAAUCCUUUGUCAGAUGUCUCAAAAUCCUUUUUGAGCAUUUACAGCUGUUAUGCUGCCGAAAUUUUGCUAGAAAUUCUAAUGCCUUUGCAUUAUGAUUAUGCUUUCAGAUGGCCACUCGCGACCUCAAUCAAGUGGUUCGCCUAACUCGAUGCCUAGAUGUACCCGGCCAUACUGCUAAGUUGGUCAGGGUAAUGACUGAGGCUGGAUACCGCUGGUAUCCUGAGUACACGGUCGAAGAGCAAUUCCGAGAUUUUAAUCAAAGCCAGUAUCUCUGCACUGUCAGGAUAUUUCCAUCUUAUCCUGGAUCUACCGAGCCUCUUCACUGCUCCUAUGGACUCGGGGUUACUAUUGAGAUGGCUGUGCAGGACGCCGCCUACUCUAUGAUGACCAUUAUGCGAGUCAGAUCUGGUCUAUUUCGGGACUCUGACUUCCGGUAUAUGCCAGGAUCACUUCCGGGAGCACAAGGGUAUCUCCAGGCUAUCUAUGCUGACUCCACUCAGGAGGAUUCACGGACUCGCACCACUGCUGAGAUGCUCGAGGAUAAGGACCGUGAAAAUCGGGCCUUAAGGUUAGAGCUCUUCAAUACCCGUGCUGACCACUGGGCCACUUUGACUCGGUUCGCACCGGCGGUGCAAGCUGGAUUUUCAGAUAUGCGCGAUCUCUAUCCAGUGAGAUCUGCUCUGCCAGACGUGAUGGUUUGGCGUGAUGUAGGAGGCAUCACCCCACCUCGCGGUCCCUGCAGGCCACCGUUUGUUGGUCCACGACCUCAUCCUAGCCCCUAUGGUCCCCAAGCUCCGCGAGAUCGUCUGUUUCCGGAUGAACAUGUUGAGCUUCCAGGCUAUGGAGGUGACUUUUAUGAGGACUACUACGGAUCGGUCUGAGUUAGGGGUAGCAUCACUAGUUCGCACUAGCUGUGUCAUCUAUCGUCCCGCGUGACUCGUGGGUUAUGACCUAGUUUGUACUCCUUCCGGAGGUGUAGAAAAAUAAUGUAUAGGGCUUGGAAUGCCUCCGAUGAGAUGUAAUCCUUUUCUCACCAUAAUAGUACUUUGUUUGGUCUUGUACUAAACCUUGUAUGGUGUGUAUGACGAUGGAAUAAAGAAGUAGUUUCUGUAUCUACCAUGUCAUACGGAUGAUCAUCUUGCAUUCCGAGUUAUUUCUUACAUUAUGUAUCCCAUGUCGGAAUUUCAUCAUUCUGACUAAAUCAUUGUCUUGUUUACCUAGGAUGGUCAACACGCGCGCCAACCCUGCUUCCCAAGAGCAGGCCGAAGGCAGUGAAGCCAGGAAUGAAAAUCUGCCUCAUCCUCCUUCACUAGCCGAGGUGAUGAUGGAAGCUGAGAGAAACAAACGGGAGACAAACCGUUUGUUGGAGCGUAUUGAACAGAAUACAGCACACCAUCAGAGGGCUAACGUGGUGUCACUCAGUGAUUUUAUCAAAUUGCAUCCACCCACGUUCCACCACUCCGUCGAACCUCUCGACGCUGAUGACUGGCUUCGCAGUAUCUCUCACAAACUGCGUUCCGCGCUGGUAGCGGAGGCUGACAAGGUCACCUUUGCUGCAUAUCAUCUUGAAGGCCCCGCCAGUCUAUGGUGGGAGAAUUAUGGAGCCAUGCGCCCAGCGGGCCAUGUCACAACUUGAGCUGAAUUCAGCGAGGCUUUCCGCGAACAUCACAUUCCGAAGGGUCUCAUGGACCGUAAACGUGAAGAAUUUUGCAGUUUCACCCAAGGCCGACUUUCUGUGGAUGCCUAUAGCAGGGAGUUUGGUAAUCUCGCACGAUAUGCAACUGAGGAAGUUUCUACUGACGCCAAGAAGCAAGCAAGGUUCCGUAAGGGCCUUAGUCCUGAGCUUCGCCGCGACCUCCGUCUGCAUGAGUGCACAUCUUUUUCGAAACUUGUCAAUAAAGCCAUCAGUGCUGAAACUGGUCAGACUGAUUAUGACGCAACACGCAAGCAUGGACGUGAUAUGGGUUCCUCAUCCGGUGCUGGUCCUCAGAAGCGCCGCGUGUGGGUACCCAAUACCGCCCUGCCACCCAGGUUCACACCGAGGCCAUCCUUCCAGGCGUCUCGCCCUGUUCAACAGUCUGCACCGGCCAAGCCCUAUGGGGGUCCAUCCAAUAAUGCUCCUCCACGUACCAGCUCCGUGACUUGUUUCAAAUGUGGGGGAUCUGGUCAUUAUAUGCGUGAGUGUCCCCAGACCAACCCCAAUCAAUCUGCUAAAGCUGUUGGCCGUGGCAAGCCGACAGGGAAGGUGUUCCAUGCUAAACCGGUCACCGCUUCACGUGGCCAUGUCAACUGUAUCUCUGCCGAAGAAGCUCAAGAGGACCCCAACGUCGUUCUCGGUACGCUUCUUGUUAAUUGCCACCCGGCAUCUGUUCUUUUCGAUACAGGAGCCUCUCAUUCUUUUAUAUCCGAAAAUUAUGCUCGUUUGCAUAACGUUGCAUUUUGUGACUUGCCAUCCACUAUGGAAAUCUCUACCCCUGGGUCUAGAUGGCAGACCUCUAGGGUAAGUUAUGGAAAUGAGAUCCAAGUCGACAGACUUGUUUUCCUUGCAUCUUUGAUAGCCCUUAAAUCUUUAGAUAUUAAUAUCAUUCUGGGUAUGGACUGGAUGUCAGCUCAUCAAGCCAAAAUUGAUUGCUUCUCUAGGACUGUUCAACUCACCCAUCCUUCGGGGAAGAUAGUCAAUGUCUUGACCCGAAUAGCCAAGCGACAAUUAUAUUCUCUUAACGCCAGCCCUUUGCCAGACCUUGAGGACGUUCCGGUAGUCCGUGACUUCCCGGAUGUCUUUCCAGAAGAAUUGCCAGGUGUUCCACCUGACAGGGAUGUUGAGUUCGUAAUCGACCUCAUCCCCGGAACCGUUCCGAUUGCUAGAAGACCCUAUAAGAUGGCACCCCUAGAACUAGCCGAGCUUAAGAAACAACUCGAUGAAUCCUUGAAAAAGGGUUUCAUCCGCCCUAGUUCAUCUCCGUGGGCUUGCCCCGUCCUAUUCGUUAAGAAAAAGGAUGGUACGGACCGGAUGGUUGUAGAUUACCGACCUGUCAAUUUGGUCACAAUCAAAAACAAAUAUCCACUUCCCAGGAUCAACGACCUGUAUGAUCAGCUCGCUGGAUCCUCAGUCUUCUCUAAGAUGGAUUUGAGGUUGGGCUACCAUCAAAUCAAAAUCAGAAACGGGGACAUUCCUAAAACAGCCUUUGUUACUCGUUAUGGCCAAUACGAGUACACCGUCAUGUCCUUCGGUCUAACCAACGCUCCAGCCACUUUUUCUCGGUUAAUGAACUCAAUCUUCAUGGAGUAUUUGGAUAAAUUCGUCGUAGUUUAUCUCGAUGAUAUACUCAUCUACUCCAAGAACGAGGAAGAACAUGCCGAACAUUUAAGGCUAGUGUUGAAGAAACUUCGAGAGCAUCGCCUUUAUGCCAAAUUCUCAAAAUGUGAAUUCUGGUUGUCAGAAGUGACCUAUCUGGGUCAUGUAAUAUCGGGUAAAGGUAUUGCUGUUAACCCUGAGCGAGUUCAAGCUAUCCUUGAUUGGACUCCACCCGAAUCGGUCAAGCAAGUUCGGAGUUUUCUAGGCUUAGCAAGCUAUUGUCGUCGCUUUGUCGAGAACUUCUCCAAAGUUGCCAAACCUCUAACCGAACUCCUCAAGAAAGAUAAGAAGUUCGAAUGGACUCCACAAUGUGAGCACAGCUUUCAGGAACUGAAAAGACGCCUGACUUCUGCUCCCGUGCUGGUACCGCCAGACUUCUCCAAGGACUUUGUUAUCUACUGCGACGCCUCGCGACAAGGACUAGGUUGCAUUCUCAUGCAAGAUCGACACGUAAUUGCUUACGCUUCACGGCAAUUGCACCCACAUGAGGAGAAUUAUCCUACUCAUGAUCUAGAACUUGCAGCCGUAGUCUAUGCACUUAAGACCUGGCGACAUUACCUCCUCGGUAAUCGUUGCGAAAUAUUCACUGAUCACCAAAGUCUGAAGUAUAUUUUCACCCAACCGGAUUUGAAUCUCAGGCAAAGACGUUGGGUUGAAUUGAUCACAGACUUCGACUUAGGAAUAACCUACACCCCAGGGAAAGCCAACGUCAUGGCUGAUGCGCUAAGUCGUAAAUCUUAUUGUAACAACCUGAUGUUACAACAAAGUCAACCGCUUCUCCAUGAGGAAUUUCGGAAGCUUAACCUUCACAUUGUACCUCAAGGUUUUCUCUCCACCUUGGUGGCAAAACCUACCCUUACGGAUCAAAUUAUCAAAGCACAGAAGGUAGAUCCGGGAAUCUCCCGCAUCAAGAGAAACAUUCAGAAAGGAAUUGCGAAUUGUUUCUCCGUUAAUGAUCAAGGAGUCGUAUACUUCGGGAAUCGACUAGUGGUUCCCAAGGUGCGCAACCUGAGGCGAUUGAUCCUUAAGGAAGCUCAUGAAUCCCCUCUCACCAUUCAUCCCGGUAGUACUAAGAUGUAUCAGGACCUACGCCAGAGGUUCUGGUGGACUAGGAUGAAGAGAGAAAUCGCUCAGUAUAUUGCUAAUUGCGACGUCUGUCGUCGUGUAAAAGCAGAGCAUCAACGGCCUGCUGGCACCCUUCAACCCUUAGCUAUUCCUGAAUGGAAAUGGGAUAAAAUUGGUAUGGAUUUCAUUACCGGUUUUCCCAGGACCAAAAGAGGGAAUAAUGCUAUUUUCGUCGUGGUCGAUCGUCUUUCCAAAGUAGCUCAUUUCUUACCAGUUCGUGAGAGUAUAACCGCUAGUCAGCUGGCAGACUUAUACAUCUCCCGAAUAGUGUCCCUCCAUGGUGUUCCCUUGGAAAUCAAUUCGGAUCGAGGAAGUCUUUUCACCUCUCGAUUUUGGGAAAGUUUCCAAAAUGCUAUGGGAACCCGUCUCUCCUUUAGCACCGCUUUCCACCCUCAGUCAAGUGGUCAAGUGGAACGCGUCAACCAAAUUUUUGAAGACAUGCUUCGAGCCUCUGUUAUCUCUUUCGGAAUGGACUGGGAGAAGUGCCUUCCAUUUGCCGAAUUCGCUUACAACAACAGCUAUCAAUCUAGCUUGGGUAAAGCCCCUUUUGAAGUUCUCUAUGGACGGCGAUGUCGAACACCCCUUAACUGGUCAGAAACCGGGGAAAGACAAUUCUUUGGCCCGGAUAUGAUUCAGGAAGCAGAAGAACAAGUUCGUAUCGUUCGCGAAAAGUUGAAAACAGCCCAAUCUCGUCAAAACAGUCAAUAUGACCGAAAACAUAAGGCUAUGACUUUCGAGGUUGACGAGAAGGCUUACCUUCGGGUCACCCCUCUGAAGGGAACCCAUCGUUUCGGUAUCAAAGGCAAAUUGGCUCCUCGUUACAUUGGACCUUUUCGCAUUCUCGCCAAACGAGGAGAAGUUGCCUACCAAUUGGAACUACCUCCGCUCCUCUCCAGAGUUCACGAUGUCUUCCACGUUUCUCAACUCAGGCGUUGCUUCUCGGAUCCUAUCCGUGAAGUGGACCACGAAACGCUUGAUCUCCAAGAUGAUCUUACAUAUCGAGAGUACCCCAUUCGUAUCCUCGAUCAAGCCGAACGUACCACGCGACGUCAUAACAUCAAGUUUCUCAAAGUUCAAUGGUCGCACCAUUCUGAAGAUGAAGCAACUUGGGAAAGGGAGGAUCGUCUUCGACUUGAAUAUCCCGCCUUCUUCUCGGAGGAACCCAAAUCUCGGGACGAGAUUCUUUUGAGUGGGGGUGAGUUGUCACACCCUAGCUAGUCAUGCAUUAGAGUGUUGCAUCAUGUUUACUCUUUCAUCAGAAACUUGAAAUGGGGAUGACAGAACCCCCAGUCCCCUCUGAAACCAACUAGGGUUUACUAAAAUAAUUUUCAAUGAACCUGAAAUGCCCUUCUAAAAUGCCCAUCAUUUUUGUCUUGGUUCAGAACCUCUGCCAAAAGUGGUGCACAUUUUCCUAGGCCAUCCUAGGGUUUUGAAUUAAAUCAUAACUAUUUGAAUUUGGGCAUUUAAAAUAAUAUAAAAUAUUUAAAUGCUCAAAUAUCUCCAAACUAAAAUGUUUCAUGUUGGAAAUAAUCCAACUAUGAGCCAGGAGUAGUUUGGUGAUUUUUGGAGUUGCCUAGGUAUUUUAUUUAAUUCAACAAAGUUGCAGAUAUAUUAAAUAAAAACAGAAAACAGAAAAGAAAGGGGAAGACUUACCUGUGCGGCCCAGCCAGCUGGCCGGCCCAGCCAGCUGGCCGGCCCAGCCAGCAACCGACCCAGCCCAGCACUGUAGCUCCCCGUCGUCUUCCUCCCCACGCCCCGAAGCUGCUGCGUGCUCGCGCGCGCGCGGCCGCGCGGCCACCUCCUGCUUGCCGACGCCCUCCUGGCCGCGUGGACGACGCCCGCAGCCCGUCCCGAUCCCCCCUGCCCUCUCUCACUCUCCCUGGCUCUCUCCUUCCUCUCUCUCGCUCUCUCUCUCGCUCGGCCGAACACGACCGUCGCCGCCGUUCGCCAUAGCAGUCGUCUCCGACCACCCCUCGCUCCCCCGAUUAGCUCAGAAGCUCCGCCACAACUCCCUCUUCCUCCCCACCGCUCCACGGGUCCCCGGAAGCCCUGCAUCGCCGCCACGUCGCCGUUCCCCUCUUCGGACUCCGACCACCGUCGCCGUCAAAUUCGUCGUCUCCGGCGCGUCCCCGAGCCCGCUUCGACGCCCACUGCAACCGCGGUGAGCCCCCGGAGCGUUUCCCCCUUCUUCCCUGGUCUCUCCCGACCUCUAGGCCCUAGCUCCACCUCGACCGAGAGCUCCACGCCGCCGGCGAUGUCGCCGUCGUGGCCACGGUCGCCGUAGCGCCCAACCGAGCUCGCCAUCGUGCUCCACACAUCACCAGGAGCACGUAGAACGCACCAACGCCUCCCCAAACCCCCUGCAACACUGAUCCCGACCGCACCCGAACUCCGGCCACCGCAGCCGAGCUCGCCGCCGUAAACUCCGGCCACCCCGAGCCCAACCACCACCACCAAUAGACGCGGCUCAGCCUCAGCAACACGUAGAUGCCUUCCGCCGUCCAUUUGGUCGCCGGAAUGGCAAAAAGCACUCUCGCCGCCGUCUCGGAUCUCGCCGGCGUCAUGUCGCCGGUGGGGUUUGACUUGACCGACCUGGGGUUUGACCCCCCAGGGUCACUGACGCGUGGGCCCUGUCGGCCAGGUGGUUAGGUUAGCGCUAACUACUGUUAGUCAACCCCCCCUGACACUGACAGUGGGCCCCAGCGCCACUAAUUAGUAAUUAGGAUUAAUCUAAAUCUGUUUAACCCCCCCUGUCACUGACGUGUGGCCCCCACACGUCAGGUUUGACUUCAACAAGCCACAGUUGACCACUGACGUCAUGCUGACGUCAUGCUGACGCAGUAAUUAUAUUUCUGGAUUUAAAUUAAAUCAGGAAAUUCCAGAAUAUUAUUUAAACUUCAAAAAUUCAUAACUUUUAUUCUGUAACUCCAAAUUAGACAAAUUAUAUAUGAAAAAUGAUCAGAAAAAUCCAAUCUAUCCAUAUGUACUAUUUUCAUGCAUGAUCAAACAAGUUAAAUUGAUGUUUUAAUCAGAACAAGGAAAAGCACUUUAAAAGGCCAUAUUUGAGUUUGAAAUUUGAAUCUUUGAUUCAAAUUUGCUCAAACCCUUCUGGUUUUAGUUGCAUUAGCCCAACACACUCAUAUUGCCAUGUUUCAUGCAUGCAUCAUAUUGUUGCAUAUUGUUUGGUGAUGUUUGUGUAUCGAUGUCCUUUGCGACAGGAUCUGUCCCCGAGGAGUACCGUGAUUACCCUAACGAAGAACCGUAUCCGUGCAACGAACCAUCAGGCAAGCAACCAAUCAUUUGAUCAUAUCGAUACAAUCCCAUGUUCUCGCUCCUGCUCUCUUUUACUGCAUUAAGACAACGCGUUCAAACUGCUGUGUGCUACGGUAGUUGAACCCAUUUCCUCUGCAUGACCUGUCAUUGCCACAGUAACUAGAUGAAACCCACUAGCAUGUGUAGGAGUUGAUUGAGCCAUAUGUAUGUGUUGUUCCUACCUUGCUAUGCCUGCUAUGCUUAGAGUCGUGUCAGGUCUGGUUCAUCUGGGUGAUGGGCUAGAGUGAAAUGAUUAUGUCGGUAAUGAGAGUGGUGUGGUGAACACGAUUUGGUAAAGGUAUCGAUGAGAGGCCAUGUAGGAGUACAUGGUGGGUUGUUUCAUUGAAGCCGACCUUAAGCACUGAGAUCUGUAUGUGUGAUUUAAGAAUCAGCUACUACCAUGCAUUGGGCCCGAAACCAAUGGACCCUCUCGACUUCUUAUUCACCCUAGUUCUCCGUCCAGGAGUUGCAAGUAGUUUCUGGUGUUUGUAGCCUACUGGAGGCCGUGGACAGCGCUGACCGUAGGGGUGGGCUGUGAUGCGUUAGGUACGUGGCCGGGUGUACCGAAUACCCGUUAGGUAUCUCGGGAACCCUGUUCACAUCGUUCGGGGCCGUAUGGGAAACCUCGGCCGGACUCCCUGCGGAUGGAACCUGAAUAGGCGAUAAACCUGGACUGGAGGCUUAGGUGAUUAGGUAGGUCGUGGCCGACACCCACGUUGGGCUUCCGCUUGAAGGUUGCCGAGUACAUGUCGUGUAAACGACGGUAAGUGGUGAGAGCGUGUAUGAAGAAGUACCCCCUGCAGGGUUAACAUGAUCUAUUCGAAUAGCCGCGUCCGCGGUAAAGGACUACUUGGUUGCCUAUACAGUUCAUAGACAAGUAAAUGGAAACUACUAAAAGCCUCAAGAUAAGUGUGAGUGCCGAGGAUGGCUCUUCCGUAGGAAGACAGAGGUGGAUCCUCGGUAGUGUAUUGAAGUGGUGAAUAGUGGACUCGUGUGCGCAAAACUAUUUCAAGUUGGAGUAUCGUAGGAUAGUCUAGCCAAGAGUCAAAGCUGGCUUGCUGCAAUAACUCCACCAACCCUUCUUGAUACUAUGCAUGUAUGUAGGAUUUGAUGUAAGUCUUGCUGAGUACCUUUGUACUCAUGUUGCUAUAAUCUGCAUUUUUACAGAAGACGCUGCAACCCCUUCUGAUGGGUUCUAUGUAGACGUUGACAUCAAUGAGUAGGCUAAAGACCCAGGUGGUGACCCUGAG